rnacentral:rRNA from 1 species
GCAUGUGACCAUACUACCCUGAACGCACCUGAUCUCGGAUGCUAAGCAGGGUCAGGCCUGGUUAGUACUUGGAUGGGAGACUGCUUGGGAAUACCAGGUGGUGUAGGCU